ensembl:lncRNA
GAGACAAGAGCUAGGAGAGGAUGAGAAGCCGUGGCAGGUGACGUUAAGGUUCUGCUCCGCGUAUUUACAGGAAAGUGUGUGGUGGCAGGAGACGCUGGGCGGCCGCGGAGUUGGGAUGCGUUUCUGCCAAGAUAUCUAGCAGAUAUCUUUGAGCACCGCGGUGCGGACCUAGCAAGUUGAUAACUGUUCUGGCAGCUUUCCAUUCAGCUGACAGACACCAUUCCUGAAUCAGCUGCGGAUGACCGAAGGCUGCACGUCCUGGAUUUGCUGAAAGCUGAGGAGAGCCAGUUCAGCCAAUGAGAUUGGUCGCUGCUUCUUGAAGAGAAAAAGUAAACUCUCCAUGAGUGUCUCACAGUUCCUGGCCACCACGUCAGGAGAAGGCCCUGAACUGAAAACUAAAGCAAGAAACCCUGACUGGUUCCCAUUCUCACUCUAAGGUUCCUCUUAACCAGUAACUGCUGUCAGCCAUUGCAGGGCCCUUAGUUAGCUCUCCUACUCCUGCUGAUUAUGGUUGGCCCCUGCGUCAUUAAUGCCUUGACCAGAUAUAUACAUUCCUGAUUGGGAGCUACUAAGUAGAUGGUAAUUUAAGUUCCAAUAUGAAUAGGCACCCACCACAGAGUCAAAGGUUUGACUCAGGAUACAGCUUGUCUUAGUCAGGGUUUCUACUGCUACAAUGAAACACCGUGACUGAAAAGCAGAUCGCAGCACAGGGCUUAUGCAGCCUACACUUUCUCAGUAUUGUUCAUCAUUAAAGGAAGUCAGGACAGGAACUGAAACAGGACAGAAACCUGGAAGAAGGAGCUAAUGCAGAAGUAUGGAGGGGGUGCUGCUUACUGGCUUGCUUCCCUGGCUUGAACAGUUUACUUUCUUAAAGAACCCAGGACCACCAGUCCAGGGGUGGAAACACCCACAGUGGGCUGGAUCCUCCCCAUUAAUCACUAAGAAAAUUGCCUUAUAGCUUGAUCUUAUGGAGCCAUUUAUCUCAGUUGAGGUUCCCUCCUUUUAGAUAACUGGGAUGCCAAGUUCAUAUAAGACUAGCCAACACCCAACUCAAGGGGGAAAGUCAUGGCUAACAUGUGGAUGGGUAACUUUAUAUUUAAAAGUUUCAGUUUACUAUGUUUAAGGUAACUAUAAAGCAAAACUGGAUUUUCGAAUGUUAAGGGCUGUUCAGGAUUAAUUUUGUAACUGUCUGGUGGACUCUUACAGCUUUAAUAAAACCACUUUCUACUUCUACAGAAAAGUUUGCUUUGCAGGAGCUGGCCUCUGCUGGUAGUCAGUGUGUAACUCUGUGUUCUUUGCUUUUAAAAGUCCCUGAGGUCAGGCUGGGUGCUGUGUAGACCAG